rnacentral:rRNA from 1 species
GACGAACGCUGGCGGCGUGCUUAACACAUGCAAGUCGAACGGAAAGGCCCUGCUUGCAGGGUAUUCGAGUGGCGAACGGGUGAGUAACACGUGGGUGAUCUGCCCUGCACUUCGGGAUAAGCCUGGGAAACUGGGUCUAAUACCGGAUAGGAGCCAUUUUUAGUGUGAUGGUUGGAAAGUUUUUUCGGUGUAGGAUGAGCUCGCGGCCUAUCAGCUUGUUGGUGGGGUAAUGGCCUACCAAGGCGGCGACGGGUAGCCGGCCUGAGAGGGUGGACGGCCACAUUGGGACUGAGAUACGGCCCAGACUCCUACGGGAGGCAGCAGUGGGGAAUAUUGCACAAUGGGCGCAAGCCUGAUGCAGCGACGCCGCGUGGGGGAUGACGGCCUUCGGGUUGGAAACUCCUUUCGCUAGGGACGAAGCUUUUUGUGACGGUACCUAGAGAAGAAGCACCGGCUAACUACGUG